GUUGCACGUAAACUUUGAUCCGAAGAUUUCCGAAUGAGGAAACUCACUUAGAGUAAUGUCUAAGUAUCAUUAAGUGAAUACAUAGCUUAAUGAGGGGAACUCAGGGAACUGAAACAUCUAAGUACCUGAAGGAAGAGAAAGAAAUUCGAUUCCGUAAGUAGCGGCGAGCGAACGCGGAUUAGCCCAAACCAAUAAAGUUUUCUUUAUUGGGGUUGCGGACAUAUCAUAACGAAGAGGUAUCGUAAUUGAAGAGGUUUGGAAAGACCCACCACAGAAGGUAAUAGUCCUGUAUGUUAAACGAGAAGACUUUAGAUAUGAUCCAGAGUACCACGGGACACGUGAAACCCUGUGGGAAGCAGGAGGGACCACCCUCCAAGGCUAAAUACUACCUAGUGACCGAUAGCGUAUAGUACCGUGAGGGAAAGGUGAAAAGAACCCCGGGAGGGGAGUGAAAUAGAACCUGAAACCCUGCACUUACAAGCUGUGGAAGCACAUUUCUUGUGUGACCGCGUACUUUUUGUAGAACGGGCCAACGAGUUACGUUAAGUAGCAAGGUUAAGCACUUAAGGUGCGGAGCCGUAGCGAAAGCGAGUUUUAACUGAGCGUUCAGUUACUUGACGUAGACCCGAAACCGGGCGACCUACCCAUGAGCAGGAUGAAGCGAAAGUAAAAUUUCGUGGAGGUCCGAACCCACGAGCGUUGAAAAGCUCGGGGAUGACUUGUGGGUAGCGGUGAAAUUCCAAUCGAGCCCGGAGAUAGCUGGUUCUCCCCGAAAUAGCUUUAGGGCUAGCCUCAAGGUGAGAGAUACGGAGGUAGAGCACUGAAUGUCCUAGGGGGUAUUGCACCUACCGAAGACUAUCAAACUCCGAAUGCCGUCAUCUUAUACUUGGGAGUCAGACUGUGGGUGAUAAGAUUCAUAGUCGAAAGGGCAACAGCCCAGAUCGUCAGCUAAGGUCCCUAAAUGUAAGUUAAGUGGUAAAGGAUGUGGGAUUGCACAGACAACCAGGAUGUUGGCUUAGAAGCAGCCACUCAUUCAAAGAGUGCGUAAUAGCUCACUGGUCGAGUGAUCCUGCGCCGAAGAUUUCCGGGGCUAAAACUUACUACCGAAGCUACGGCAUCAGUAAUGAUGGGUAGGGGAGCUUCCCAUACGGGUUGAAGCAUGACCGUAAGGACAUGUGGACAGUAUGGGAGUGAGAAUGUUGGCAUGAGUAGCGAGAUGUGGGUGAGAAUCCCACAGGCCGUAAACCCAAGGUUUCCAGGGGAAGGUUCGUCCGCCCUGGGUUAGUCGGGACCUAAGCUGAGGCCGAAAGGCGUAGGUGAUGGACAACAGGUUGAUAUUCCUGUACUACCGAUAACCGUUUGAGAGAAGGGAUGACACAGUAGGAUAAGCUAAGCACACUGUUGGUUAUGUGUGCCCAAGCAUUGAGGCAGUCAAAGUAGGCAAAUCCGCUUUGAUAAUGCUGGGAUGUGAUGGGGAGCGAAAUUUAGUAGCGAAGUAGCUGAUUUCACACUGUCAAGAAAAGUCUCUAUCGAGGUUAAAGGUACCCGUACCGCAAACCGACACAGGUGGGUGAGGAGAGUAUCCUAAGGCCAGCGAGAGAACUGUUGUUAAGGAACUCGGCAAAAUGACCCCGUAACUUAGGGAUAAGGGGUGCCACCAUCAGGUGGCCGCAGAGAAUAGGCCCAAGCGACUGUUUACCAAAAACAUAGGUUUCUGCUAAGUCGCAAGACGAUGUAUAGGAGCUGACGCCUGCCCGGUGCUGGAAGGUUAAGGGGAUCUGUUAGAGCAAUCGAAGCAGUGAACUUAAGCCCCAGUAAACGGCGGCCGUAACUAUAACGGUCCUAAGGUAGCGAAAUUCCUUGUCGGGUAAGUUCCGACCCGCACGAAAGGCGUAACGAUUUGGGCACUGUCUCAACAACAGACUCGGUGAAAUUGUAAUUCCGGUGAAGAUGCCGGAUACCUGCGACAGGACGGAAAGACCCCAUGGAGCUUUACUGUAGCUUGACAUUGGGUCUUGGUACUACAUGUACAGGAUAGGUGGGAGGCUUUGAAACCAGGACGCCAGUUUUGGCGGAGCCAUCCUUGGGAUACCACCCUUGUAGUACUGGGACUCUAACCAUAGGCCAUGAAUCUGGUCUUGGGACACUGUCAGGUGGGCAGUUUGACUGGGGCGGUCGCCUCCCAAAAGGUAACGGAGGCGCUCAAAGGUUCUCUCAGUACGGUCGGAAAUCGUACGUAGAGUGUAAAGGCAAAAGAGAGCUUGAUUGCAAGACAUACAGGUCGAGCAAGGAUGAAAAUCGGACUUAGUGAUCCGGUGGUUCUGCGUGGAAGGGCCAUCGCUCAACGGAUAAAAGCUACCCUGGGGAUAACAGGCUUAUCUCCCCCAAGAGUCCACAUCGACGGGGAGGUUUGGCACCUCGAUGUCGGCUCAUCACAUCCUGGGGCUGUAGUAGGUCCCAAGGGUUGGGCUGUUCGCCCAUUAAAGUGGUACGCGAGCUGGGUUCAGAACGUCGUGAGACAGUUCGGUCCCUAUCCGUCGCAGGCGUAGGAAAUUUGAGAAGACCUGUCCUUAGUACGAGAGGACCGGGAUGGACGUACCUCUGGUGUACCAGUUGUCCUGCCAAGGGCAUGGCUGGGUAGCUAUGUACGGAAUGGAUAAGCGCUGAAAGCAUCUAAGCGCGAAGCCAACUUCAAGAUAAGAUUUCCCACCGCAAGGGUAAGACCCCAGAAAGACUAUCUGGUUGAUAGGUCGAAGGUGUAAGUGCAGCAAUGUAUUUAGCUUAU
rnacentral:rRNA from 1 species